CCCUGGUGGCGAGUGGCGAACGGGUGANUAAUACAUCGGAACGUGUCCUGUANUGGGGGAUAGCCCGGCGAAAGCCGGAUUAAUACCGCAUACGCUCUACGGAGGAAAGGGGGGGAUCUUAGGACCUCCCGCUACAGGGGCGGCCGAUGGCAGAUUAGCUAGUUGGUGGGGUAAAGGCCUACCAAGGCGACGAUCUGUAGCUGGUCUGANAGGACGACCAGCCACACUGGGACUGAGACACGGCCCAGACUCCUACGGGAGGCAGCAGUGGGGAAUUUUGGACAAUGGGCGAAAGCCUGAUCCAGCAAUGCCGCGUGUGUGAAGAAGGCCUUCGGGUUGUAAAGCACUUUUGUCCGGAAAGAAAACCUCCGCCCUAAUAUGGUGGGGGGAUGACGGUACCGGAAGAAUAANCACCGGCUAACUACGUGCCAGCAGCCGCGGUAAUACNUAGGGUGCAAGCGUUAAUCGGAAUUACUGGGCGUAAAGCGUGCGCAGGCGGUCCGCUAANACANAUGUGAAAUCCCCGGGCUUAACCUGGGAACUGCAUUUGUGACUGGCGGGCUAGAGUAUGGCAGAGGGGGGUAGAAUUCCACGUGU
rnacentral:rRNA from 1 species